CGGAGGGUGCAAGCGUUAUCCGGAUUCACUGGGCUUAAAGGGUGCGUAGGUGGGUUAGUAAGUCAGUGGUGAAAUCCCCGAGCUUAACUUGGGAACUGCCAUUGAUACUAUUAAUCUUGAAUACCGUGGAGGUCAGCGGAAUAUGUCAUGUAGCGGUGAAAUGCUUAGAUAUGACAUAGAACACCAAUUGCGAAGGCAGCUGGCUACGCGAAUAUUGACACUGAUGCACGAAAGCGUGGGGAUCAAACAGGAUUAGAUACCCUGGUAGUCCACGCCCUAAACUAUGGAUACUCGACAUCAGCGAUACACUGUUGGUGUCUGAGCGAAAGCAUUAAGUAUCCCACCUGGGAAGUACGAUCGCAAGAUUG
rnacentral:rRNA from 1 species